AGCCAAUCACCUGCCAUGGGAAUACGCUAAGUUUCACUAUGAUGCGCAAAAUAUUAUCCCCUCCGUGUACAGAAAGCACAGACACGGAUCUAAACGUCCUCGAAUGCCUGCAAUGGCCAUUUCACGGUGGAGUGAACUGGCGUCCAUACCUUGCCGUCUGCUCCCUGGUCCUUUCCCCAUGCGGCCAUGACGAACGCGUCAUUGACAGAAACACACGCCACCUCCUCUAUCCCUUUGUUCCUCAGGUCUCCGGCCUGCUGCACGAAGCCUGGGAGGCUCCCCCUCCUGGACCUCCACUGCAGGGAGACUUUGACCAACCUGACAGUGAUGGAGAAGACAAAGCUAUUACUGUUAACACAAGCCAUGAAACAAUAUCCCAGGAAGCAGUUGUUUUCCCAUCCCUUGAUGAAACUGUGUGUUAGAGCUAUUUAUUAGUCUGAGUAUUUUCUGAAUAUUUUCUUAUUUAUAUUGUUUGUGUUAUUUCAUAUAGUGUUUAUUUUGUUUAGAUUUAUUAUUUUGUUUAUUUUGCAUGUUUGGUUUGGGUAAUUGGUACAUUAUUUUCUGUUAGGCUUGCUUUUGUAGAGUUAAUUGGUACCACCUGCACUUGGAGGUUAUUUAGGGAGGCUGCAGGUAGAGGAUCAGUGGGCACCUGGGUGGGGCUAUGGUUUUUUUACCAGCGCGAGAGAAGCAGCAGGAAGUGAUCGCUCCAAUUGUUUGCUUGCCUUGGAGAAUAAACCAUGAUAAACCUCACUGGAAUUUUGUUGGACUAUGUUUUCUUUGCCUGCGUAAACCACAACCUGGUGCAUCAGUGGCAGUUUGAAGUUUGAGUUUUGAUUUUUGUUGCAUUUAAGACAAAUAGCCACUACACUGUGAGUUGUUGCUUUGUGAUCAUGAUGAGCCAGAGAAUAAAACGCCUAGGAAAACUCUGUUUAUAAGGAAAUUUGAUAUGCAUUUUUGCUGAUCUAGGCUUUUUUUUUUAAUGUGGCUUUUCAACAUUUUGACGUGAAUACACAUGGUGGUGUACUGUGUUAAAUUGUGGGGUGAAAACAGCCCAA